AUGAAUGUUUACAACGAAGGUGUUUCGAACGUGUACAAGGUUAACAAAAGAUCGCGGUCAAAUUUGCCAUGCGUGAAUGCGAGCAGCAGCAUCACUUCAUCCACCAGCGAGGAAGAUGAUGCAUUUUCCAUCUAUCAUAUGGAUAGGUGCAAAAUGCCCAGUCAAAAAAGACAAACUAUAGCGUGCUCUAGUACACAGUGCACAAUGGUCCACGAAACAGAUUUACGAGGAAAGAUGCAUUCAGUGCCUUCAAAUGAUUUUCUAGAUUAAUAUGGUCUUCUACAAAGUUUUUCCUAAAAAUAAGGCCCUCUUUUAUAUACAGGGUGUUAGGUUUCAGAGUGCAAACUUUUUAAAGGGUGAUAGAGGAUCAUAAAUGGUGAGAAAAAUUGUUCUACGCAUAUGGUCAAAUCUCAACCGUUACGUAGUUAUCGAACUCCCCAUGUUUUUGACUCUUAUCGCCUCAACUUGAUAUAACUUUAAAAUGGUCAAACUUAUCGCAGUUUUUUAGCCUUAUUCGAAAGAUUAUUGAAUUUUCUAUCAAAUGGCAUCUUUUAACCAGCUAAAUAACUAAGGUUUAAGGUUUAGCUAAAUAACUAAGUUUUCUAGAGAAAAUAGCUUAAAAGUUGCGUGUUUUAAUUUGUUUUUGUCAAUCUUUGAAAAAUGCGUGAUAAUUUAAAAUUCUUUCUUUGGCAAAGUUGUGGCCCCUGUUCCAUUCUACAAUUCAUUCUUUGACAUCAAACUUCUAUCUCUUAUCGUUUUCUUGCAAUUUCGAUUUAAACGUCGCAUUUCAGAUCAUAAAUUUGCAAUCGUCAUGGUAAGCACUUUUUUGCGCACUGUGCCGCACAUUUAAAUCAAAAUUGCAAGAAAACGAUAAGAGUUAGAAGUUUGGCGUCAAAGAACGAA